CCUUCGAUAGCUCAGUUGGUAGAGCGGUGGACUGUAGAUAGAGCCUUCAAGGUCAGAUAGUAAUCCAUAGGUCGCUGGUUCAAAUCCGGCUCGAAGGA
rnacentral:tRNA from 2 species